CCAGACUCCUACGGGAGGCAGCAGUGGGGAAUAUUGCACAAUGGGGGAAACCCUGAUGCAGCGACGCCGCGUGAGUGAAGAAGUAUUUCGGUAUGUAAAGCUCUAUCAGCAGGGAAGAAAAUGACGGUACCUGAUUAAGAAGCCCCGGCUAACUACGUGCCAGCAGCCGCGGUAAUACGUAGGGGGCAAGCGUUAUCCGGAUUUACUGGGUGUAAAGGGAGCGUAGACGGUUAUGUAAGUCUGGAGUGAAAGCCCGGGGCCCAACCCCGGGACUGCUUUGGAAACUGUGUAACUGGAGUACAGGAGGGGCAGGCGGAAUUCCUAGUGUAGCGGUGAAAUGCGUAGAUAUUAGGAGGAACACCAGUGGCGAAGGCGGCUUACUGGACGACAACUGACGCUGAGGCUCGAAAGCGUGGGGAGCAAACAGGAUUAGAUACCCGAGUAAG
rnacentral:rRNA from 1 species